UAUAUAAGCACUGGGUACAGUCAGAAGCGUGGGAGGCUGAGAGAAUUCACCAGAGCCAGAGCGGGAAGGAGAACAGGCUGACUGACGAAAUACACUGCUAAGGGGAGCAGCGGGCAGCAGGAGAGGUCUGCGCGCCAUGUGGGACCCUCGCUGGCCAGCCGGGGAUCGAACUGGUGCUGCAGAGGCUGCGGCCAGCUUCUCAGCCCAGCGCUCAACCUCUGCGCCACCAGACAAUGAAAUUUACAAAUUGACAUAUGAAGAGGUAAUCAAGAAUAUGUAUCCAAAAAUAAAUGGGUAUAACAGUGGAGCUCACAGUAUUUCCAACUGAAUGAUAACUGAUAAAAAUAUGGAACAAAGGAGAAAGAAAUUGUUGAUGUUAGCGGACAUACUAGCAAAUACUUUCCCUCAAAACAGCUGCAAAGAAGUAUCUUAUAAUCUGUAACACUCACUUAAAUAUUUAAAAUGUCUUAUUAAUUUUCAUGUGGCAUGUCUAACUAA